UCUAUAUAUAUUCUAAAGUAGUAUAAAUGAAACUUAAAAUUUUGACAAUAUUUAAUUUUCAAAGAAAUAUGUAAUUUAAUCGUCAAUACACGUUAAAUCUUACUUAUUUUAUUUUUGUAUAUCUCCGUUGACAGAUUUUUAUUAAAAAUAAAAAUAAAUUUCUUAUUAAAUAAUUUUAAUACAUCAGGUCAAGAUCCAAAAUAAAUAAGUUAUUAUGUAUUUCAAUCAAGUAUAUUGAAUUGAACAGAUUUUGAAAAUAAUUUUGAAAUUGAAUUUGCAAGUAAAAUUAAUAUAGAAUAUUAAUUUGAAAUUUUUAAAUAUGU
rnacentral:rRNA from 1 species